GUAAUUCAACUUAGUACGAGAGGAACCGUUGAUUCAGAUAAUUGGUCUCUGCGGCUGUCCGACCGGGCAGUGCCGCGACGCUACCAUCUGCUGGAUUAUGGCUGAACGCCUCUAAGUCAGAAUCCAUGCCGGGACGCGGCGAUGCGUCCCCGCGCGGCGUAGACGGCUACGGAUAGGCCCUCGGGCCUCGCACCCCAGCGGGUCGGCGACCCGGGCCCGACGGCAAUCGUCGGGUCCGGCGCCGGCGCCUUGCAAUUUGACCCCGUCGCGGGGCAGGAUCCUCUGCAGACGACCGAUGCGUCCGGCCGGGUCGUGUACGUGGUAGAGUAGCCUUGUCGUUACGAUCCACUGAGCGUCAGCCCGU
rnacentral:rRNA from 1 species